rnacentral:rRNA from 1 species
AAAUGACGGUACCUGACUAAGAAGCCCCGGCUAACUACGUGCCAGCAGCCGCGGUAAUACGUAGGGGGCAAGCGUUAUCCGGAUUUACUGGGUGUAAAGGGAGCGUAGACGGUGGGGCAAGUCAGAUGUGAAAGCCCGGGGCUCAACCCCGGGACUGCAUUUGAAACUGCCUGACUAGAGUGCAGGAGAGGUAAGUGGAAUUCCUAGUGUAGCGGUGAAAUGCGUAGAUAUUAGGAGGAACACCAGUGGCGAAGGCGACUUACUGGACUGUAACUGACGUUGAGGCUCGAAAGCGUGGGGAGCAAACAGGAUUAGAUACCCUGGUAGUCCACGCUGUAAACGAUGAAUACUAGGUGUCGGGGGUCAAACGACCUUCGGUGCCGCAGCUAACGCAAUAAGUAUUCCACCUGGGGAGUACGUUCGCAAGAAUGAAACUCA